CCUACGGGCGGCAGCAGUGAGGAAUAUUGGUCAAUGGACGAGAGUCUGAACCAGCCAAGUAGCGUGAAGGAUGACUGCCCUAUGGGUUGUAAACUUCGUUUAUAUGGGAAUAAAAUGUUCCACGUGUGGGAUUUUGUAUGUACCAUAUGAAUAAGGAUCGGCUAACUCCGUGCCAGCAGCCGCGGUAAUACGGAGGAUCCGAGCGUUAUCCGGAUUUAUUGGGUUUAAAGGGAGCGUAGGUGGAUUGUUAAGUCAGUUGUGAAAGUUUGCGGCUCAACCGUAAAAUUGCAGUUGAAACUGGCAGUCGUGAGUACAGUAGAGGUGGGCGGAAUUCGUGGUGUAGCGGUGAAAUGCUUAGAUAUCACGAAGAACUCCGAUUGCGAAGGCAGCUCACUGGACUGCAACUGACACUGAGGCUCGAAAGUGUGGGUAUCAAACAGGAUUAGAUACCCCAGUAGUC
rnacentral:rRNA from 1 species